rnacentral:rRNA from 1 species
UACGUAGGGCGCAAGCGUUGUCCGGAAUUAUUGGGCGUAAAGAGCUCGUAGGCGGUUUGUCGCGUCUGCUGUGAAAACUCGAGGCUCAACCUCGGGCUUGCAGUGGGUACGGGCAGACUAGAGUGCGGUAGGGGUGACUGGAAUUCCUGGUGUAGCGGUGAAAUGCGCAGAUAUCAGGAGGAACACCGGUGGCGAAGGCGGGACUCUGGGCCGAUACUGACGCUGAGGAGCGAAAGCGUGGGGAGCAAACAGG